CGGAGCUAACGCGUUAAGUAGACCGCCUGGGGAGUACGGCCGCAAGGUUAAAACUCAAAUGAAUUGACGGGGGCCCGCACAAGCGGUGGAGCAUGUGGUUUAAUUCGAUGCAACGCGAAGAACCUUAUGAAAGAGCUGGGAAUGGAGUAAACAUUACCCGCGAGUGUAAAGAUUAAUAAUUGAGCGCAAAACGCUGCUAUUUUGCGCUUUACUGUUCCGAUGAGUUCAGUAUGAUCAUGCCCGGCAAACGGGGG
rnacentral:rRNA from 1 species